UAUGAUUAAUAUGUAUAAGAUGGUGUCCGGACCUUAGAAGGGUGAAAUAUAUAACUACCCUUUCAUUUGACUUUUGAAUAGUCGAUGCAUUGAAUUGUAGCUAACUUCUCAAUGGGUUAUGCAUUGAAAUUAUAAUAUUUAAUCAUUAAAAAUAAUAAUAAGAAAUAUAAGAAGAAUAUGGACACAGACAUCAAUUUCUUAUUAACUACUCGAAACAUUACAAAAUCAAUUAGUUUUAUUUACAUUGUAUGGAGUUAUCUCUACAAUGGAGAUAAUUACGACUUAUAUUUAAACUGUAGCUAAGCUUGGUAUCUCUAUCCUUACCAGAAUUAUGAAAUCAGAUGAAACUUUAAGAUUCAAAGACAGGAUUAUAUGAUUAAGCUUGAAUUCUGUGCACAGGAUAACAACUGCAGAAUGUAGGGUGUCUUGGAUUGAACAUGAAGCUGCUAACGCCCUAACAGUUAUGGUGAUGGGUGAUUUAUAAGAGGACAGCAGUGAUAAGCAGAGAAAACAAAGAAAUACCUGAUCUUUUUAUAAAAAAAAAAACCUAUUUUGAAACCAAAUUCAAUGGAUGGGUAAGUUGCUCACUCUUGAUGUCAAAGCGUUUUGUUUCCAUAUAAAUAAGAAGUUAAAAGGGCAAAAGGUCAAAAGAUAUAUGUUGAGGAUUACUGCUGCAUUUUCUCCUAAGAAAUAAUAUUUGCAGAAUUUUGCAUAUGCUGAAACAUAUAAUGUCAAAUGAAGAUACAUAUGAAAAGGGGUUUUUGAGAAAAGCUUCAUCAUUUGAAUGCAUUUGAAUUUUUUUAUUAAGUCAUUUGAACACCUUCAAUGAUAUCUAGCAAUGAUAGAGAAUG
rnacentral:lncRNA from 1 species